CGGUUAUUUUUUUAAUUUUAUGAGCAAAUUUUGCAUCAUUUUUGUCAUUUGCAUGCCUUGUAUUUUAACGAACUCCUCCUAGAGAUUUAUUCAGAUCAACACCAAAUUUGGUAUGCCUAAUCUAAAGGCCUUUGCGAUGUUAAAUUGCGAAGAUCUUGAGUUUUCGUUGAAGGGCGUGUCCGUGGCAGCCUGACGAAUUUCGAUGAUUCGCCAUGAAAAAUGAAGUUGCUAUAACUCAGACAUACAAUGUCCAAUCUGCCACAAACUUCACAUGUUUGAUAAGACUCCUGACCUGAACAGAUUGAUAUGCCCAUAUUCAGUUAUAGUCAUAGCGCCACCUACUGGCAACAGGAAGUGACAUAUUUUACACUGUAACAAACUACCCUGAGAAAUUUUAUGACAUACAUUUUUUUUUGCAGUCACUCUAUUCUGAAAGGCCUGUGCGAUGUUAAAUUGUGAAGAUCUUGAGUUUUCGUUAAAGGGCGUGUCCAUGGCGCCGUCACAAAGUUCGAUGUCUCGCCAUGGGAAUAAAAGUUAUUGUAACUCAGGCAUAAAAUGUCCGAUCUUGCCCAAACUUCACAUGUUCGAUAAGACUCCUGACCUGAACAGAUUGAUAUGCCCAUAUUCAGUUAUAGUCAUAGCGCCACCUACUGGCAACAGGAAGUGACAUAUUUUACACUGUAACAAACUACCCCGAGAAAUUUUUAUGACAUACAUUUUUUUUUUUCAGUCACUCUAUUCUAAAGGCCUGUGCGAUGUUAAAUUGUGAAGAUCUUGAGUUUUUCGUUAAAGGGCGUGUCCAUGGCGCCGUCACAAAAUUUGAUGUCUCGCCAUGGGAAUAAAAGUUAUUGUAACUCAGGCAUAAAAUGUCCGAUCUUGCCCAAACUUCACAUGUUCGAUAAGAGUCCUGGCCUGAACACAUCUGAAGGCCAAUAUUCCAUUGGGUGUGGAAAAAUGCCUCGAUAGCGCCACCUAUACAUUUUCAACGGAGUGCGCCUCGAGCUACGUUUCACGUACAUGUACAAAAAAAUCGGUACACACAUGUAACACACCAAUACCUACAA
ensembl:lncRNA